AUUGAACGCUGGCGGCAGGCCUAACACAUGCAAGUCGAACGGUAGCACAGAGAGCUUGCUCUCGGGUGACGAGUGGCGGACGGGUGAGUAAUGUCUGGGAAACUGCCCGAUGGAGGGGGAUAACUACUGGAAACGGUAGCUAAUACCGCAUAAUGUCGCAAGACCAAAGAGGGGGACCUUCGGGCCUCUUGCCAUCGGAUGUGCCCAGAUGGGAUUAGCUUGUUGGUGAGGUAAUGGCUCACCAAGGCGACGAUCCCUAGCUGGUCUGAGAGGAUGACCAGCCACACUGGAACUGAGACACGGUCCAGACUCCUACGGGAGGCAGCAGUGGGGAAUAUUGCACAAUGGGCGCAAGCCUGAUGCAGCCAUGCCGCGUGUGUGUAGAAGGCCUUCGGGUUGUAAAGCACUUUCAGCGGGGAGGAAGGCGAUACGGUUAAUAACCGUGUUGAUUGACGUUACCCGCAGAAGAAGCACCGGCUAACUCCGUG
rnacentral:rRNA from 1 species